CUGUCUGAGGAGCGCUGCAGCGGUUUUUUCCGCCAGGCUCAGGCGGCAUUCCCAGGUCGUGCGGGCUGUGUCCUGCCGACCUCACAAGGCUCAAUGCCCUGUGCUUUCUUAAAAAACGGCGCUCGCUGUAU
rnacentral:ncRNA from 2 species